AAUUAGAUGGCUGAACAUUUAAGCUAUGGCCUCUUAAGCCAUCAUAUAGUAUCUUUACUUCUAAUAA
rnacentral:tRNA from 1 species